GAUGAACGCUGGCGGCGUGCCUAAUACAUGCAAGUCGAGCGAACUUUUGGGAGCUUGCUCCUAAAAGUUAGUGGCGGACGGGUGAGUAACACGUGGGUAACCUGCCUGUAAGCCUGGGAUAACUUCGGGAAACCGGAGCUAAUACCGGAUAACAUUGAAGACUACAUGGUCUUCGAUUAAAAGGUGGCUUUUAGCUACCACCUACAGCUGGCACCGCGUCGCUUUAGUUAGUUGGUGAGGUGACGGCUCACGAAGGCGACGAUGCGUAGCCGACCGGAGAGGGUGAUCGGCCACACUGGGACGGAGACACGGCCCAGACGCCUACGGGAGGCAGCAGUAGGGAAUCUGCCGCAAUGGACGGAAGUCAGACGGAGAAACGCCGCGUGAGGGAAGAAGGCCGUCGGGUCGUAAAGCUCUGUUGUAAGGGAAGAACAAGUAUCGUUCAAAUAGGGCGGUACCUUGACGGUACCUAACCAGAAAGCCACGGCUAACUACGUG
rnacentral:rRNA from 1 species